rnacentral:misc_RNA from 1 species
GCCUAUUUAAUGAGAACUUGCGGAUAUAUUAAACAAUCUUGUUCAUGAGUUAGCUUGCGAGCUUGUUUACGAGUUGGAUCAUGAGCCUUUACAAGCUUGUUCACGAGCUGGUCCUGAGCCUUAAUGAUUCGAAUGUUGCUGAUCUCGAGCUUGGCUCGCUUAGAAAACGAGUAGAAUCAAGUCGAGCUCUUAUGAAGCUGAGCCUGGAGAAGCUCGUCUCAUUUACGACUCUAAUUUUGAAUUUGGAAACUAUAGAAAUCAAUCUUAGAUUCUACAAUUUUUUGUUUGAAAUACCUAAUUGUUUUUUGUGAUUGCUUUUAGUUAUCUUUUCUCUUGUUGCCAUUGUGCUUGGAACAGGUUGAGUUAUCUCAUCCCAGUG